rnacentral:rRNA from 1 species
UCGUUAUGCAUUAGAAUGGUGGGUAUACUGUAUAAUCCCCGAGGGGGAAAGAUUUAUCGCUAUUAGAUGAGCCUACGUUAGAUUAGCUAGUUGGUGAGGUAAUGGCUUACCAAGGCUAUGAUCUAUAGCUGGUCUGAGAGGACGAUCAGCCACACUGGAACUGAGAUACGGUCCAGACUCCUACGGGAGGCAGCAGUGGGGAAUAUUGGACAAUGGGCGAAAGCCUGAUCCAGCUAUGCCGCGUGAGUGAAGAAGGCCUUCGGGUUGUAAAACUCUUUCAAUAGGGAAGAUAAUGACGGUACCUAUAGAAGAAGUCCCGGCAAACUCUGUGCCAGCAGCCGCGGUAAUACGGAGGGGGCAAGCGUUGUUCGGAAUUAUUGGGCGUAAAGGGCACGUAGGUGGACUAGUAAGUUAAAAGUGAAAUACCAAAGCUUAACUUUGGAGCGGCUUUUAAUACUGCUAGACUAGAGGUCGAAAGAGGAUAGCGGAAUUCCCUAGA